UUGUCGAUGCCACUCUCGAAGCUCCCAACUUUCAGUCAGAGAUGAGGAUAGUGGGCCUCAAUCAAAAGCAUUCAAGAAACUUACAUCCACCCCGUUGCGUACGAGGUGAUUUUCUUACGGACCUGAUCGGAUUUCACCUAGAAAAUGAGAACCUCCUCAAAAUGAAUUUUAAAUAUUUUCAAUUUUCUCCAAUAUCUUAACACAAUUAUUUCACCAAACAAUAUUGCUUGGAACAAAGUCGAAUAGUUAAAGAUCAUAUAUUACACUUUCUUCCUAUUCUUCCUUGUUUCGUAAUGAACAAUAUAUCAAAAAGUCACACAAUCUUCUUAGCAAAAAAAAAAUAAAAAAUCACAUAAUUGUUGCUUACCUCCAUACAAUUCACAUGUCUCACAUAAUUGUUGCUUACCUCCACAAUUCACAUGUCUCAGUUCUCAGACUCAUAAUGUUAUAGCAUACAUACUAUUCUUCUUCUUCUUCUUCUUCUUCUUGGGCAUAAAAUGCCAAAAGCACUUGCAUUUAUCAAAUCAACACUUACAUGGACAACAACAUGCCAACAAAAAUUGACUUGAAAAAACCUCACUGUCGUAUGUUUUAUUAUUUUGCUGAUGUGAUGUGCUCAAAAUAAAUGGUUAGAUUGGCCCAAGUGUUACGUGUUCAUGCAUAAAAUGAUAAUGUUGGAGGCAGUGUCAUCAUCUCUUCUUGUAUAUACCAAAUAAGCAAACAAAUCAACAAAAACCCAGAAAUGCAGCUCACAUAUGUAAUUAUACGAAUGCAAGACUCGACAUCUUACUUGAUAAUAUCAGACUCGUGUCUAUGACCAUGAUGAUCUUUUUAGGACACAAAAAAUCACUCUUUUUUCUUUAUAUACUACUUAGGCAGAAAACACUAAAACACAACCCCUAAAUCCAACUCAAUCAGAUGUAAAACAAAUUCGAAUAUAAUUUUCUAAAUUCAAAUUAAAAAAAUCUAUUUGUUUCUAAAGCCCAAUUAUAUUAAAUCACAAAUUUGAAGCAGAUUUUGGCACACAAUAGGUCAAUAAGGUAGGAAUCGUUUCAGACUAACCUUGAUGGCCGGCAUUGGAGGAAUCGUCCAAUUACUGUCGGAAAGCUUGAGGAGGAAUUUCAAUUUGAAAGAUCUCAAGCAAAGUGGCUUGCUUGGUGAGGAGGAGUCGCACAAGAUUUUCAAUUGGAAAACAAGACGAUGACCAGGCAGGGAGAAAUCAGGAGGAAAGAGAUGA
rnacentral:lncRNA from 1 species